rnacentral:rRNA from 1 species
UACGGAGGGAGCUAGCGUUGUUCGGAAUUACUGGGCGUAAAGCGCACGCAGGCGGUCGCAUCAGUCUGGGGUGACAGUUCCCGGCUUAACCGGAAAAGGACUCUGGAAACUGUGCGACUUGAGGGCUUCAGAGGGAUGUGGAAUUCCAGGUGGAGUGGUGAAAUGCGCAGAUAUCAGGAAGAACACCCGUGGCUAAGGCGGCUCUCUAGUACGGUACUGACGCUGAGACGCGAAAGCGUGGGGAGCGAACAGG